UAUACAUUACCGUUUUUUUCCCCUUCUUAUUCGUCGUUCAGUUCAAUUUCUCGCGAGUUUUUCUUCCAGAUGCUACCAAUCGUUGCCGUUGAUCCACGCGCCGGCGACUUUCAGUUUUGAUUCUCCGCCACCGUUUUGGCUGUUGUUACUUUGGUUCUUCCGAGAGAAGGGAGCCAUAUAUAGAAAGUAUUUUAUGGUGUGCCGAUGAGCAGAACUGAUGUUAUUGGCAGUAGAAGGAGGAGGAUUCUUCUCUGCUUCGGCUUCAGGGUAUACUAAGGGCCUGAGCCUUCUCCUCUUGGGUCAGAGGAAUGAGGAUAAACCCAUGAGAGUAGCGCCGUGGAACCAGUAUCAGUUGGUAGACCAAGAAUCUGACCCUGAGCUCCAGCUGGCUUCCACAAAGAAUCGCCUCUCCCGCGGCUGUGCCUCCUUUGUUUGCUUUGGUCGCACUUCCGCAGGACUUGAUACUCCGUCUCCUCUUAAAGUGGGCCCUGCUCAACAACAUGAUGUCUCACCAGGGCCACUGGUUUCCAACAAGGGAAAGGAUCCUUCUGCACAUGUAGAUGAUGAAAGUGAUAACAGAAAGGCUACACUAAAAAGUAGCAUAAAGAAGCCACAAAAUAGAAAAUCCGUUCCUGUUGAGGUUGCUAAUGAACAUGAAGCAUCAAGUGGACAGGGGAUUUGUACUCCUGGAGGUCAACCCGAAAGAAGGAAAGUGCAGUGGACAGAUAAUUGUGGUAGUGAGCUUGUGGAAAUUCGAGAAUUUGAGCCCAGUGAAGUGGAUGGAUCAGAUGAUGAAUUUGAUAGUGGAAAUGACAGAACUUGUUCCUGUGCGAUUAUGUAAAUUGGAGUUUCAUUAAGUUGAUAGGUUCAUCGGGUCAUUCACUGCUAACAUCCAUCACUCGAUUUGAGACAAAAGAGGCAAAGGUUUCAGUUCUGUGGAGAUAUAUACACAAACAUCUUGCCUGAGUGAUGUGUCUGUUAUUGCUUGCUGCGGCUUUAAAUUUUGCUCCUCUGCCCCUCAUCAAUUUGUAUAAUUCUUGUCAUGUGUGAAUUCUUUGCCUUUGAUUCAUCAUUUUUAUGCUACUUUAUGUUCUUAUUUUUAUAAGGAUUAACAAAGUUUUCUUUCUAUGAUCUGGCAUUAUCUUGAAAAAAGGUAAUAGAAGUGUAAGAUUUUGUGAAAAAAUCAGUGUGCCAACCUGGUAACAAACUUGUGAUGAGACUAGGAUUUGUUAAGGCUUAUCUGUUGAAAGUAUAAAGAAAGGCUCAUGCUCGUGUAA